GGGGAUUUAGCUCAGCGGUAGAGCGCUUGCCUAGCAAGCACAAGGUCCUGGGUUCAGUCCCCA
rnacentral:tRNA from 1 species